GCGCCCGUAGCUCAGCGGAUAGAGCGUCUGCCUCCGGAGCAGAAGGCCGUGGGUUCGAGUCCCGCCGGGCGCG
rnacentral:tRNA from 1 species